UACGUAGGAGGCAAGCGUUGUCCGGAAUUACUGGGCGUAAAGCGCGUGUAGGUGGUGGGACAAGUCUGCUGUGAAAGCGCCUGGCUUACGGCGAGGUCGGCGGAAACUGUCCGACUCGAGGACGGUAGAGGGGGGUGGAAUUCCCGGUGUAGUGGUGAAAUGCGUAGAGAUCGGGAGGAACACCUGUGGCGAAGGCGGCCCCCCUGGGCCGGCCCCUGACACUGAGGCGCGACAGCGUGGGGGGAGCAAACAGG
rnacentral:rRNA from 1 species